UUAAUUUUUUUAAUCAAUUGAAUUUUUUACCAACUUCUCAUAUACCAAGGAGAAGAAUUCAAAAAGCAUUAUUUGCGCUAAACGUUCAAUUUUACUUCCAAAAAAAAAAUU